CGGCAGAGUGGCAGGUACUGCUGUCUUACCUCCCCUAAACCAUACUGGGAGACCGCCAGGUUAUCAUAAAAUACGACAUGAAACUUGGGCUCUUCGGCGAUAUAAAAACUUUGUUAAAAUUAAUACAUCCUUACGCCAUGUCACCUUGCUGUUGCACCUGCUUUUUUUGAUGGGCACACAAAUAUGGGGGAGCUGGUGUUCUACCUCUAAACGUGCGCUUAUGGACUCGCCUGGAAAACUCGCUGUCGGCCUGCCGGUGGAUUCAUGGAGCCAGUAUAUCCUAUACUCAAGUGUUCUGGAUGAUGGUCGAGCGAGGCGUGUGCAAGGUGAGCUGCAUGGACACUCUACAACAUCGGUGUCAACAAAGCCAGGCCCAGCCAUCGUGCUUUGCGCAUUUCUCCUUUUGUGCAGGGAUGUCCACCCAAAUCCUGGACCGAGGUCUUUGGACAUUUGCCAAUCAGCUGAUCCUGACAUCUCUAGAUCGGCGAAGUGUGCUGCUUUUACUGGCGUGGGAAUUCGAAGUAAUAUUCCUCCAAUAAACAACAUCAAGCCUUAUAGUAAUGUUGGCCAAAUGACGAUAACAUCGUUCCUGCACAGACCUCCAACACUCACCACACAAACUACAUCGUACCUUAAACAGCAGCAGAUGAAAUUGUUUCAGACUGUAAAUCAUGCGAGUGUGUUGUGGGACGCAAAAACGAAGCCGAAAGACAUUUUUGGUGGACAUCUGAAUGUACGUAGCAUUAUCUCAAAAACUGAACAACUUGAACAUCUACUGACGGACUCAAACAUCGAUUACUUAUGCCUCACAGAGACUUGGUUAACCCCAACAACCCCUUUAUCUGUUUUUAAUAUUCCAGGGUAUAAUGUUUAUAGAUGGGAGAGAAGGAAAGGGAAAGGGGGCGGAGUCCUGAUCUAUGUGAAAGACAGCAUUCAAAGUCAGCAAAUAGUCUUUCCGGAAAACAAUUUGGAAUGCGUGGGGGUAAAACUUACGCUAUCCC
ensembl:lncRNA